UUUGAUGGCGACCGGCGCACGGGUGAGUAACACGUAUCCAACCUGCCGAUGACUCGGGGAUAGCCUUUCGAAAGAAAGAUUAAUACCCGAUGGCAUAGUUCUUCCGCAUGGUGGAACUAUUAAAGAAUUUCGGUCAUCGAUGGGGAUGCGUUCCAUUAGGUUGUUGGCGGGGUAACGGCCCACCAAGCCUUCGAUGGAUAGGGGUUCUGAGAGGAAGGUCCCCCACAUUGGAACUGAGACACGGCCCAAACUCCUACGGGAGGCAGCAUG
rnacentral:rRNA from 1 species